rnacentral:sRNA from 1 species
UAAGUCCUGUGCCAAGCGGCGAUGAAUUCGUCAAGCUUGCUUGUAAGGAUUCAUCGCCAUUUGGCACGACAACAGAAAUCGAGAAGUAGCGCGAUAGCGCGAAUUCGAGAUUUCUGUAGCAUUGCGAAAGCGUAUGCGAAGCAAUGCGUAGGACUUA